rnacentral:rRNA from 1 species
GUAGGUGGCAAGCGUUGUCCGGAAUUAUUGGGCGUAAAGCGCGCGCAGGUGGGUUCUUUAAGUCUGAUGUGAAAGCCCCCGGGCUCAACCGGGGAGGGUCAUUGGAAACUGGGGAACUUGAGUGCAGGAGAGGAAAGUGGAAUUCCACGUGUAGCGGUGAAAUGCGUAGAUAUGUGGAGGAACACCAGUGCGAAGGCGACUUUCUGGCCUGUAACUGACACUGAGGCGCGAAAGCGUGGGGAGCAAACAGGAUUAGAUACCCUGGUAGUCCACGCCGUAAACGAUGAGUGCUAAGUGUUGGGGGGUUUCCGCCCCUCAGUGCUGCAGCUAACGCAUUAAGCACUCCGCCUGGGGAGUACGGUCGCAAGACUG